GAUGAACGCUGGCGGCGUGCCUAAUACAUGCAAGUCGAGCGAACGGACGAGAAGCUUGCUUCUCUGAUGUUAGCGGCGGACGGGUGAGUAACACGUGGAUAACCUACCUAUAAGACUGGGAUAACUUCGGGAAACCGUAGCUAAUACCGGAUAAUAUUUUGAACCGCAUGGUUCAAAAGUGAAAGACGGUCUUGCUGUCACUUAUAGAUGGAUCCGCGCUGCAUUAGCUAGUUGGUAAGGUAACGGCUUACCAAGGCAACGAUGCAUAGCCGACCUGAGAGGGUGAUCGGCGACACUGGAACGGGGACACGGUCCAGACUCCUACGGGAGGCAGCAGUAGGGAAUCUUCCGCAAUGGGCGAAAGCCUGACGGAGCAACGCCGCGUGAGUGAUGAAGGUCUUCGGAUCGUAAAACUCUGUUAUUAGGGAAGAACAUAUGUGUAAGUAACUGUGCACAUCGUGACGGUACCUAAUCAGAAAGCCACGGCUAACUACGUG
rnacentral:rRNA from 1 species